GCCGCAUCUUCUUGACCAGGGAUUGAACCUGGGGCCUGGGCAGUGAAAGCACAGAGCCCUAACCACUGGACUGCCAGGGACAUCUUAAGAGAGACGAGACCACGUGAGGACACAAUGAGAAGAUGGCCGUCCACAAGCCGAGGAGAGAGGCCUCAAAAGAAACCAAGCCUGCUGACAGCUUGAUCUUGGACUUCCAGACUCCAAGCCUGGGAGAAAAUGGGGAAACUCACCCAGAGAGGUGAAAGCAACUUCCCACGGCCUUGUUGACCCGAACUCCACUGAACAUGAGGCCCAUGCAGAUCUGCAUUCCAUGUUUGGGGAGGGGCGCCGGGAAGGGAAGUGGUUAGAGAAUGGGGUGUCUUCUGCUUCCCAGGGUUGUCCUCGGGCCCUCCCAGGCCCCCAGUCAACAAAGCUUGUCCAUCAGCCACAAGGAAGAUUUAGGGGUAGCAGUGAUUCUGGGAGAGGGGGAUAGAGUCCAGGCUCCUGCGAUAAUGGAGAGAGUGCCUGGUGGGGGCAGAGGGCACAGAAGAUGCUGAGAACCUGACAUACGUGAGACACACAUGUACACACACCACACAUGCCGCAUCCACAUCCCUUCACAUGCACACUGUGUAUAACACACAACCCACACACUCCAUACUGAACACACAUACCACAAGCACCACACCAUACCUAACACACAUGUACCAGAAACAACACACCAUACCUAACACACACGUACCAGAAACAACACAGCAUACCCAACACACAUGUACCACAAGCAACACACCAUACCCAACACAUAUGUACCACAAGCAACACACCAUACCCAACACACACGUACCACAAGCAACACACCAUACCCAACACACACGUACCACAAGCAACACACCCUACCCAACACACACGUACCACAAGCAACACACCAUACCCAACACACACGUACCAGAAACAACACACCAUACCUAACACACACGUACCAGAAACAAUACACCAUACCCAACACACACGUACCCCCCGACACACACACAGCCCAUACAUAAUACCUAACACUCGUUGCGUGGACCCCCUCACCCAGUCCCCACAAUCACCCUAUGAAGUAGGUGCUGUCAAUGCCCCCAUUUUAAUGAUUGGGAAACUGAGGCUCAAGGAUUUGGAGCUUGGAACAGAUGGAAGUGUCAUGGAACACAGGUCAGCCUGUCUCCAGAAGCCACACUGAAUAUUCCCACCGAUGCACAAACAACAAAAUCAAGAACCAAGACACCACCUCUCUGCAGACAGAGCCCCUCCUGGCUGACUUAGGUGCCAUCUGGGGCCACGAGGUCCCCCUCUGGGACAUGGAGGCAUUUUGGAGGGGAGAGGGAGGCCAGGACUGGAGCCCAGCAGGAGGAGGAGAGAGAGCUGGCCCCCUCCACCUGAGGGACACGGACCACUCCACCUCCUCAUGGGAGGACGGGAGGACGCAGGGAGGAACCUGACCCAGACCACCCAGGCUGCGUCCUGUCACCGUGGCUUCCACAUCCCAGGGCCCCCAGGCAGCGGGGUAAGGGGCUUCCUUCCCCUGCCUCCAUGAGGACUGGGGCCCUGGACCCUGUUUUCCCCAAGGCCAUUUUCCGCACCCAGCCCUGGUCCUGGCAUGGUCCCCCAGCCAGUCCCCGUGGAAGGGGAGGGGGAUCCUGCCUCCCCCAGGCUCCCUGGUCCGCCCCGUGCACCCUCAGGACAGCACCCCUCCGAUGCCAGCAAUGCUGCCUGCUGGGGAAGGCCAGCCUGUCCUCUGCAGCCCUGAGAGGGCAAGACGGGACACAGCCUCUGUGCCUAUCCCUCGGGGAGUGGACCUCCGCCUGCAGGAGCAUGCGCACAAGAGAACACGCUGCAGCCACGAGACAGAGCCGGGCCGCCCCUCAUAGAAACCUGGAAGUGACAUGACCUGGACACGCUCAGGCCUGUCCAACCAUUUGCGACCCCAGGGACUGUAGCCCGCCAGGCUCCUCUGUCCAUGGGAUUCUCCAGGCAAGAAUACCAGAGUGAGUUGCAAUUUCCCUUCGCCAGGGGAUCUUCCCAACCCAGGGAUCGAACUCGAGUCUCCUGCUUGGCAGGCGGAUUCUUUACCAUCUGAGCCACCAAGGAAGCCCACAGACCUGGAAAGGAGA